rnacentral:lncRNA from 1 species
AGUAAAGCAAAGCACUGUGCAGAGCGCUCAAACCCCUCUGGGUCCGUCCCUGCAGGCUCUUAGCUCCCGCGGGGAAGGAGUGAUGGGAGUGAACCUGGAACGUCUCUUCGGCGAAUUCCUUUGGGGGAGGACUCAGCAGAGGGGCGCAUGCGCACUGUGAGGGCAUGUGGACUCGGAAGCCGAUGGCGUAGUCUUGACCCCAGCGCUGCUAUCCAUUGCCUCUGUCACUCCCGACCAGUUUUAUGCCUCUUCUGCCUCGGUUUCUUCAUCUGUAAGACGGGGAGAAUGGCUAAUGCUAAGAAUGAAUAUGUGGUCUCUGAGCUCCUAACAACGAAAAGCAAAUGAAGAAUCCCAGGAAGCGUGCUUGGAAUGGGAGCAACAUCCUUGGAAUUAAUGCUCUGUCAUGGAGGGUCUUCAGUAUUGCACAAUUAAGAGGUAAUUUGGGGGGGUAGGAUAUUUAUUAUUUUUUAUUGAGAUAUAAUUGACAUAGGCUAGUUUUAGAUAUAUGACAUCAUGAUUUGCUAUUUGUAUAUAUUGCAAAAUAAU